GGAGCUAGCAGUGUUGCCUCAACAUCCGCAUUUGAUGCUUUCUGGCGGGAAGGAGGAUUUGGGUGCUUUAGCGAUGUUGGAAGACAGCGUAAAGAAGUUGAAAAGUCCUAAAACUUCUCCAGGGCCGGCUUUGAGCAAGAUCCAGAUUGACUGCGCCCUCGAUUAUUUAGCNNNNNNNNNNNNNUUGGGUCUAUGAGUCUUGUGGGUCUGUCUCGUUUUCGGCUUUGGAGCAUCCUAAAUUCCGGGCAUUCUUGAAUCAAGUUGGCUUGCCUGCAGUUUCGAGAAGAGAAUUUUGCGGUGAUAGACUGGAUGUUAAGUUUGAGGAAGCUAAGGCAGAGUCUGAGGCAAGGAUUAGAGAUGCUAUGUUUUUUCAGAUUGCAUCCGAUGGCUGGAAAGUCAAGAGUUUUAGCGGUUUUAGUGGCGUGAAUUUGGUGAAUUUGACAGUGAAUUUGCCUAAUGGGACUAGUUUGUAUCGGAGAGUUGUGUUUGUUAGUGGUUCAGUGCCUUCUAAGUAUGCAGAGGAAGUUUUAUGGGAGACCAUAUCAGGGAUUUGUGGGAAUGCCGUGCAGCAGUGUGUAGG
rnacentral:misc_RNA from 1 species